GAUUUACCACUAUCAAGGGAACCCAAGAUGCAGAAGAUCCCGACUGCAGCAACAAUCAACAGAGAUCCAGCAGAGAUCAACACUACAUACAAUAAAGAUGCAGAAGAUCCCGAAUAGAGUUAUAAUUAUCACAGAUCCAGCAGAGAUCAACACUAUCAGAGAGACUGAGACUGGAGGAGCUGAAGGAGAGGAAAAGAGAGACAGUCAUUAAUGUGAGUGAAUGUGUAAAUAAUCACAUAUAUCAGCUCUGUUGUACCUGCACAUGUGUGACAGAGUUGAGUGAUGUCCAGAUGUUGAGUCUGGUUGCUGAUGGGAUUGUUCAGCACACAGCUGUAGGUGUUUUUAUCCUGA